rnacentral:rRNA from 1 species
GGGCUGCGGCAGCCUACACAUGCAAGUCGAGCGGUAGCACAGAGAGCUUGCUCUCGGGUGACGAGCGGCGGACGGGUGAGUAAUGUCUGGGAAACUGCCUGAUGGAGGGGGAUAACUACUGGAAACGGUAGCUAAUACCGCAUAAUGUCGCAAGACCAAAGUGGGGGACCUUCGGGCCUCAUGCCAUCAGAUGUGCCCAGAUGGGAUUAGCUAGUAGGUGGGGUAACGGCUCACCUAGGCGACGAUCCCUAGCUGGUCUGAGAGGAUGACCAGCCACACUGGAACUGAGACACGGUCCAGACUCCUACGGGAGGCAGCAGUGGGGAAUAUUGCACAAUGGGCGCAAGCCUGAUGCAGCCAUGCCGCGUGUGUGAAGAAGGCCUUCGGGUUGUAAAGCACUUUCAGCGGGGAGGAAGGCGAUGAGGUUAAUAACCUUGUCGAUUGACGUUACCCGCAGAAGAAGCACCGGCUAACUCCGUGCCAGCAGCCGCGGUAAUACGGAGGGUGCAAGCGUUAAUCGGAAUUACUGGGCGUAAAGCGCACGCAGGCGGUCUGUCAAGUCGGAUGUGAAAUCCCCGGGCUCAACCUGGGAACUGCAUUCGAAACUGGCAGGCUAGAGUCUUGUAGAGGGGGGUAGAAUUCCAGGUGUAGCGGUGAAAUGCGUAGAGAUCUGGAGGAAUACCGGUGGCGAAGGCGGCCCCCUGGACAAAGACUGACGCUCAGGUGCGAAAGCGUGGGGAGCAAACAGGAUUAGAUACCCUGGUAGUCCACGCCGUAAACGAUGUCGAUUUGGAGGUUGUGCCCUUGAGGCGUGGCUUCCGGAGCUAACGCGUUAAAUCGACCGCCUGGGGAGUACGGCCGCAAGGUUAAAACUCAAAUGAAUUGACGGGGGCCCGCACAAGCGGUGGAGCAUGGGGUUUAAUUCGAUGCACCCCGAGGACCUUACCUGGUCUUGACUUCCCCGGACUACCGAAAAUGCAUUGGUGCUUCCGGAACUGGGGGAAAGGGGCUGCAUGGCUGCCGUCCGCUCCGGUUUGGAA